rnacentral:rRNA from 1 species
GACGAACGCUGGCGGCGUGCUUAACACAUGCAAGUCGAGCGGAAAGGCCCUUGCGGGGGUACUCGAGCGGCGAACGGGUGAGUAACACGUGAGUAAUCUGCCCUUGGCUUUGGGAUAACCACCGGAAACGGUGGCUAAUACCGGAUAUGACGCGCCCCGGCAUCGGGGUGUGUGGAAAGUUUUUUCGGCCAGGGAUGUGCUCGCGGCCUAUCAGCUUGUUGGUGGGGUAAUGGUCUACCAAGGCUUCGACGGGUAGCCGGCCGGAGAGGGUGGCCGGCCACACGGGGACUGAGACACGGGCCAGAGUCCUAGGGGAGGCAGCGGUGGGGAAUAUGGGACAAUGGGCGGAAGCGUGAGCCAGCAACGCCGCGUGAGGGAUGACGGGCUUCGGGUUGUAAACCUCUUUCAGUACCGACGAAGCGCCGAUGAUGGUGGUGACGGUAGGUACAGAAGAAGCACCGGCCAACUACGUGCCAGCCGCCGCGGUAA